CUACUGGAAACGGUGGCUAAUACCGCAUAACGUCGCAAGACCAAAGAGGGGGACCUUCGGGCCUCUUGCCAUCAGAUGUGCCCAGAUGGGAUUAGCUUGUUGGUGAGGUAACGGCUCACCAAGGCGACGAUCCCUAGCUGGUCUGAGAGGAUGACCAGCCACACUGGAACUGAGACACGGUCCAGACUCCUACGGGAGGCAGCAGUGGGGAAUAUUGCACAAUGGGCGCAAGCCUGAUGCAGCCAUGCCGCGUGUAUGAAGAAGGCCUUCGGGUUGUAAAGUACUUUCAGCGGGGAGGAAGGUGUUGUGGUUAAUAACCGCAGCAAUUGACGUUACCCGCAGAAGAAGCACCGGCUAACUCCGUGCCAGCAGCCGCGGUAAUACGGAGGGUGCAAGCGUUAAUCGGAAUUACUGGGCGUAAAGCGCACGCAGGCGGUCUGUCAAGUCGGAUGUGAAAUCCCCGGGCUCAACCUGGGAACUGCAUUCGAAACUGGCAGGCUUGAGUCUUGUAGAGGGGGGUAGAAUUCCAGGUGUAGCGGUGAAAUGCGUAGAGAUCUGGAGGAAUACCGGUGGCGAAGGCGGCCCCCUGGACAAAGACUGACGCUCAGGUGCGAAAGCGUGGGGAGCAAACAGGAUUAGAUACCCUGGUAGUCCACGCCGUAAACGAUGUCUACUUGGAGGUUGUGCCCUUGAGGCGUGGCUUCCGGAGCUAACGCGUUAAGUAGACCGCCUGGGGAGUACGGCCGCAAGGUUAAAACUCAAAUGAAUUGACGGGGGCCCGCACAAGCGGUGGAGCAUGUGGUUUAAUUCGAUGCAACGCGAAGAACCUUACCUGGUCUUGACAUCCACGGAAGUUUUCAGAGAUGAGAAUGUGCCUUCGGGAACCGUGAGACAGGUGCUGCAUGGCUGUCGUCAGCUCGUGUUGUGAAAUGUUGGGUUAAGUCCCGCAACGAGCGCAACCC
rnacentral:rRNA from 1 species